UCCCUGGGGGAUUAGUGGUUAGGCCUGCGCGCUCUCACCGCUGCGGUCUGGGUUCGAUUUCUGGCCAGGGAG